GAGGGGCACGGCAAUGGAGGGAGGCGGCCGAUGGAGGGAGGCGGCAGCGGGCUCCUCGGGGUGAGGACGACGGCGGCGGUCCGACGGCGUACUGCAGGCGCGAGGCGGCGGACAGCGAUCGGCAUGACCUGGGGAGUGCAGUGGCAGGGUUAGGAGAAAGGGAAAAUGCGCGAGGAGACGGGGAAAAGUGGCCGGAGGCCGGCAGAUUGAGGCGAAGCUCACCUCAAUGGGGAGAAGAAGGCUGCAGCGGCGAUUGGAGCCAGUGGAGCGGUGGCCGACCUUGUCCUCACGGUGGUGGAGCUAAUGGUGGUCGUGGCAUGACUUGGGGUGGUCGCGAGCGGCGACGAGCGGCAGCCGGAGGUGGCAAUUGGCCGUGGCGGCUCGGGUUCGCG
rnacentral:lncRNA from 1 species